GAGGACCUGGUGUGGGAGUGAGGGGACCCAAGCCAUUGCAAAUGGGGGGGGGGGGGAGGGAAAGGGGCCAGUCAAGACAAUAGAGCUACAUAAUCCAAAGAAGGAUCAAACUGAUCACAGUCCUUGUGACCUUUUACCCUUCCUUUAAUUCUCAAUACUGAACAUCUGUGUUUCUUGGUCAAUGCCUGAAAGUAAUAAAGACAAUUAGAGCU
rnacentral:lncRNA from 1 species